rnacentral:sRNA from 1 species
GAAUAUAUCAAGAGGUACAAGUAGUUUAUAGAGAGGUACAACUCAAUUCCAAAAGAGGUACAAAUUACUUCAAAACAAGUCAAGAAAGUACAAAUGACUCUAGAAAUAGGAAUUCAACAUAGUUUCAAACCUUAACAUACUUGUUGUAACAUAAAAAG